rnacentral:tRNA from 1 species
GCGCAUGUAGCUCAGUUGGUUAGAGCACGGCUCUUAUAAAGCCGGGGUCCUUGGUUCAAAUCCAAGCAUGCGCA